rnacentral:lncRNA from 1 species
AUGAAACCCUGCUUUGCAGCAGAACAGCAUGUGUCCAGAGGUGAAAUCAAAACAGACGCACAUACAGUGAAUCUAGGAAGCGAUGAAGAUCCACAAAUCAUCUCUGAUGAUGAACAGCAUGUAUCGGAUGCAGAAAACCAAGGAGACGGAAUCAGACAGAAUAUUUGGUCAGACUCACCACCAACUAGCUGUGUAACUGCUGAGGUAGAUUUGCAAAUGCAUCAUGAUCAGAAGACUGCAAUUCCCAAGCAGCCAGCCACUCCCACAUCUGGCUUUGCCCCCACAGAGAAGCCACCCUUAGCUCUUCUCCCUAUUCUAAAAUCCCCUGUAAGCAAUCAGAAGAUCCUGGAGAGCAGCUUCAUGCAUCAAGGUCCUCUUAAUCCUGUGGAGUUCACAAGUGAAACUUCUAGAGCAAGGAAUUCCACCGGGUCAGCAACACCAAAGGAACCAUUAAAACAGAUUUCUGUCUCCAGCACUGAAGCAAAAGCCCAACUAGAGGCACCCACCUCUGUGGCAUUCUUUCAGUUUGAAACCUCUGUAGAUGUCCAGCAGCAACUCCAGCUGUGCUGUCCCGAGUGUGGCACACCAGGAACAGGCUUCAGUGGGAAUGCUGCUGAAAACCCUCCUGAGGGGAGCAAACCAUCGGUGUCUGAGCUUACAGCUCAUCACUCAGCCUCACUGAGCCCAGAAAACAAGAAUUUGGAGCAUUCAUCCUCAAACAAAAAUGGGCUGAAGAAGAAAAACCGGAAUGCUGGCGACAUCAAGAUUUUCAGAGACUGGCUGGUUUUACACUGCCCCUCUGAAGCGCGCGAGAUCUACAAGCUGCCACCUGAAGACCUCGAUAAUUACCUGGCCUGGUUCUACAACUCUGCAAAGAAACAAAACUGGCAUGGAUUUUUCCGCCAACUCUUUGUACUUCUUCCAGAGCAGCAUUGAGAGAUACCUGAAGGAUCACAACUACGAGUACAGCGUGGUUAAAGGAGCAGGAAUUCAGAACGUCUCAGGAAGCCUUAAAACUGAAGUAUCAGCAUCUGUCUCAAAAAGAGAGAGAGGGAGAGUGGACUAUUUUAGAGAACCUGACGGAUGAAAACGUGGAUGUCCUUCGUAAGAAAGGGCUAUUGAGUCAGUUGACCCCUCAGGGCUUUCUGCACCUGAUGCUCAUAAAUAUCAUUAGGGGGUUUGGGGCAAGCACACACAACCACAGCCAGAACCUGUACUGGGGACAGCUGGUGCUAAGAAAGGAUGAGGCAGGGCUGGAGUACCUGGCGUGGAAGAACGACCUCCACGCAGAGGAAACUACGGGGGAAGCAGCUGCACACCUCUUUGCCAGGCCUGACAACCCAGAUAACUGUCCGAUCCAGGACUACAAGAUGUACGCUAAGAAGAGGCCGCUGGACAUGCUUCACGACUACGAUCCGCUCUACCUGUCUCCCAAGCCCCUCUACUCCAUGUGGGACCAAGUGUGGUACUGUAGAAAAUCACUGACAAAAUCCAAAAUGGAAAAGAUGCUGAAAGUUAUUAUCCAGCAAGUCAAAGGAACAAAUAUGAAGGCCAAGAAGUAAAGGUAGCCGCUGGUUUCUGUUGUGCCACUUGGCUAGGAGCCUGUUCCAAAGUAUGUUUGAAAGGUUUAAGUAGCGACAGUUAGCAGAGGUUGAAGGAAACAUCCAUCCCUUCAGUGUCACCUUCCAACAUCUACAGAUUUGCAUUACCUUAGCUUUCAGGAGAAGUGAAAAACUUCUAUUGUUCUUUUUCUUAACAGAAUUGGUAAUUCAGUAAGUUAAAUAAAUAUGAGAGUUCUAUUUUUACAAACGUGAAAAGUUAACGUUCUACUCUAUUAUUAGUGACAUGAUAAAAAAGCUGCACUACCAGGGAGAGGGCUCUGCAGCUGAAUAACAAGCUGCGCUUGUAUUUAGGGGAGCUGACACUUGCAAACUGUAUUUAGUCUGCUGUGUCACAGCCUAUCAUAAAAAGAUAAAUACCGUGAGCUCGUUGUGGGGUGGAAGGAGGAUGAUGAAAUACCGUGUUUGCCAGCUGCUAAUCCAUAGCUCAUAGGAAUGCUUUCAACAAGGUUUAUGUCAUGUUUCUUAGUGAAAGAUUCAUAGAUUUAAGAAAUUCUGACUGUUUUUAAAAGUUAUUUAAAUAUCUGACAGCGUUGAAAAGUUUUAUGGCCUUUUCCCCAGGGCACUAAGAAUAGCCACAAAAGCAGCCUUCAGUAGGCUUAAACCUUGUUUCGGCUGUCCUGUUGCUGUUCGGUCAAUGUACUCUUACAGUCCGGUUGUUGGAGUGAACUGUUGACAUGUUCUAAUAAAAUUAAGUCUUACUUAGUACUGUUUGUCUGUUCUACAAGGGUGAACCAGUAAGCCUGAACCACUGGGUGACAGCUUCCCAGAACACCAGCACACUCACUGCUCUCCUCUGCAGCCAGCCUGCCGGUGCUCCUGGCUACAGAGCCGGCCCUGUGCGGGCUUUGGGCGUUUGAAAUCCCCCUGAGCCCCCAGUCAGGGGCUCUUCAGGAGGCCUUUGUGGCCAAGGUCUUCACCAGAAGCAGCCCCGUUCAAGUUUAACAUCACCAAGUAACUCACAGGUGCUUGAGGAG